GUCCAUUGUAAAAUAAACUCAGGUGAAGACUUCAUCUAUCACCUGACCUCCACAAGCCCCGUUCUGCCUGGAGACCACGGUGGAGCUGAGAGGGAAGGGAGUCUGGCACAAAAUAAGACUACAGUAAAUGUGUGCUGAUCUAAAGGAAUGGUCUCUGCAGAAGCAAACACGUUUCUAUAUGACACAAUAAAUGUGCUGAUGGUGACUGCCGACCCAGAAGUGUACACAACUUACUAUAUUCUGAUCAAAAGAAACAUUUGAGGGGCGCCUGGGUGGCUCUGAUGGUUAAGCUUCUGACUGUGAGUUUGAGCCCCACAUUGGGUGAGCUUGAGUUUGCUUCAGGUGAACUUGAGCCC